CACCUACUGCAACCCUCCUCUUUUCUCGAGCCUUGGGACUGGCGCCAAGUGUGCACUUUAGGCGUCUAAAAGAUAACAUUUUGUUGGCUAGUGGGCCAAUUGGAUGUGUUUAUUUCUUUGCAAGUAUAUUUUGACUGGUCUAUAUGAUGAUGUAAUUAGCUUAACUACAUAGAUUCAUAUCAAUCUAAAAGAGAAUUGAGUUGUCUCACUAUUUUAAUACAUCAUCUUCAUCUUUUUUUUCCCCCUCUUUUUGUUGUUGACCUCUAUUUUUUCUUAUUCUUUAUCUCCUAGGAAUCAUGUGUUUUAUAUAUAUAUAUAACACAUUGGGUUAGAGGACAGAAAGAAAAGAAGUGGUAGAUCUAAAUUGACUUGGAG
rnacentral:misc_RNA from 1 species